GACAGAAUGAUGAGUCACUCCUCGCUGAGUGACAAUAAGCCGAGUGUUAGCGUUUCUCUUUACGGGAUUCGUGAUGAUCAUUCCCUCGAAAGCGAUAAGUGAACUGACUGUC
rnacentral:snoRNA from 1 species